rnacentral:rRNA from 1 species
UACGUAGGGUGCAAGCGUUAAUCGGAAUUACUGGGCGUAAAGCGUGCGCAGGCGGUUAUGCAAGACAGAUUUGAAAUCCCCGGGCUCAACCUGGGAACUGCAUUUGUGACUGCAUAGCUAGAGUACGGUAGAGGGGGAUGGAAUUCCGCGUGUAGCAGUGAAAUGCGUAGAUAUGCGGAGGAACACCGAUGGCGAAGGCAAUCCCCUGGACCUGUACUGACGCUCAUGCACGAAAGCGUGGGGAGCAAACAGG